rnacentral:lncRNA from 1 species
UUUUUUUUUAUUGGAGUUCAAUUUGCCAACAUAUAGCAUAACACCCAGUGCUCAUCCCAAGUGCCCCCCUCAGUGCCCAUCACCCAGUCACCCCAACCCCUCAACUCACUUCCCCUUCUACCACCCCUUGUUCAUUUCCCAGAGUUAGGUGUCUCUCUCUGUUUCUUGCCAUCCCCAAAACCACCAGAAGUUUUCCUUCAGGUUGUGACACUGCCACAAAAUCUUUUUACAAAACACACUUUAACCAGAUAAAUUUAAAAACCUAACGGGCUUUAUUCAAUAAUUCAUGAAUUGGCAGUAUCCUACCCAGUAAGUAGAAAGGAUCUCUGUAAAGCUGUACAAAAUGGAAAACAUUUAUAGACAGAAGGUGGGACAAGGAAGUUAGCAACAAAGAGUGUAUUGUUUCAGGCAAGAUCACCUUCCUUUGAAGAAUGGCAAGGGUCUAUCAGACAGAUUAUCUCACUGACUGUUGAUGAUGUAAUUCCAGUCUGGCUGGUUAAGAUUAUAUUCCCAGGGAGGCUGAAACUGCAAUUAGGUGAGGUAUUAAGUCUCAGUUUGAUGAUGUGGGCUUAGCACAAGUGAGUCUAUUUUGGGUCUGCUGUCUCUUUUUUAACACACUGAAAUCUUAGGCAGCAACCAAUUGAUUGGCAAGGUAUUAAAGGGAAGUAAACUAUUGGAAUUCCUGAACUCGUAUAAUCCCAAUACUCGUAAGAGUAUGAGGUAGCCUCAUACUCUACCUUGGAAUAAUAUGUGAUGUCAAAGUUCUCUUUUUAAGAGAUAAGAAAAUAACUUAUAAUGCUGUGAUCAUGGGAAAAAUAUGAAUUGAGAGGUACAUUUUUAAACUUUUAAAAUUAAGGAGGAUUAGAGAAAAAUGAGAACAAGCUCAUUUGCCUCAACACUAGAAUAAUAGAUUAUCCCUGGGAAAAUUUUAAGGGCUGAUUUUAAGUCUUAAAACUACUAGUGGUAAGUAUAAGUAUUUGAAACUUGUUAUCUAUUUGGAAAUGAGUCAAAUAUAAAAAAAAUCUAUGAUGAGAUAGUAGAUAAUUACAUAUCAGGUUAAGGGUAAAAUGAGAAAACUUUGGAAGAAUUUUGGAUCUCAAAAGUUAAGGCAGCCACAUCUUCCCAUGAAACAAAGUUUGAUGCUGUUGUUUAGAAACAUAACUGGUGGGCAGCCCUGUCUGAUUUUUUUAAAAUCAAAAAUAUGUUUAUACAUUCUGCAGUUAGGGUAUGCUGUUUGCUGUGAUUCUGGUCAUACUCAGAGCAAAGAUUAAUGAUUUAGGAGGGGGAAAAUAUAACAACUUCACUACAAAUGGCUAAGGCUAUGUCACCACAACAAAGUAGUUGGCAAGACACAUAGGCAAUCCAAUCAUAUAAGUAUAGUUUUCCUAUUGUACAGAUGAGAAAACUGAGCCUGUAAGUCCAAUGAUCAACUCAAAAAACAUCCAAAAAGUAGUAGGCCUGGGAACUUAAACUCACAAUAAAUAGACUCCUGGAGGAAUCAGGUGGCAGUAACGUCAAGCACAAGUUGCUCAGAUUAACCAUGGAAAAAGGGGACCCCACUAAGAAAAACAAUGAGAGGAGGUACAAAAAAUUUUCUGAUUAAGGAAAAAGAAGUUGAUGGUAUAAUAAUCCUGUUGAUGGCCACAGGAUUAUUUCUCAAUAUUCUCAGUAAAUCAAGAAAGCUUAAUGGUUGAGUGUAAAAGAUUAAGAGUGAGGACACAAGACAUAUAGAAAUGGACUGGAACUGACACAUCAAAAUGUGAUGUCACAUCCCAGAGAACAGGACAGAUUGCAUAAAUUUCUAUAGGAUCCAACUAGUAUGCUUUUAUGACCUUCUAUAACUGGCAGGAUGAGAACUGAGAAUACAAGUAGUCGAGUUGCAUUCGAUGCUGGAAUUGACACACCAGAUCCACAGCAAAAUGAAACUGCAAGAGUAUUGCACUCUCAAAAUGUCAAAGUUUAGUCACUGAUCAUGAGACUCAGAGGAGAUAUGAAUUCAAAACAAUUCAAAAGUAAAUCGAUGGGGAGGGGAGGAACUUUAAAAAUAAAAAGUAAAUAUUAGGUUAUUUGGUGUAAGGAAAUGUUUAAGUUGCAACUUUAAAAAAAUUGAUGAGAAAUGGAAACACUGAAAAUACUACUGCUAUAAUUAUUAUUAUAACCGAUCUUAAGAUAUUAGAAGUAAACCACUCUAGGCAGGGAUGAGAUCCCAUUGGAAUAAUUAUGGUGAUAAAGUAAAGGUGAAGAAAUGAGGAAGUUAAGAAAAAAAAUCAAGUGUCCAAUAAUUAAAAAUUUUGAAGGACGUUCAUAGGAGGUAAAGUAAAAAGGCAAACAAUAAACUGAAAUUAUCAAGAUGGAUGAGAGUCAUGGACAUUGGUCAAUGAAUAACACUGAGGCUAGAAAAAAGAGAGUACAAUGCAUAAAAGGUGUUCAAAAUAUAGUAUAAGGUCAUUUAUAUACAAAUUAUGUGACAAAGCAAGUCUCAAUGCAAAAUCUCUUCCUAUUCCAAUAAGUAAGCAAUAAAGGUAGAAGUUGAAUCUCCUAAAAAGGGAUAUGAUGGUAUCAGGAAAUUUUUGAUUAAGAUUAGAUUUUGAUUAUAGCAUAGCGAGAUGGAUAGCUACACUCAAGCGAAUUACAGGCGAUUUUAUGACUUUUCAGAUCCACAGAUAAUUGGACCAGGCUCUCAGAGCACAGUGAAGGCAGCUUCCAUAAACCUUUCACAUUAUCUUAUUCCUUCCUUCAUUCUAAAUAUUCCUUAAAAACACUGUACGAGGUAUAUGGUAUAUACAACAGUGAUCAAAACAGAGAUGGUUCUAGUUCUCAGUAGCCUAAGUUCUUUGCUGUAAACAUGUAAAAGUCUGGAUGAUAUUUAAUAGGAUCAAAUUUAAGGAUAAGCUAAUCAGUCUCUCAUUUAUAAAUUAAGAAACUAAGGUACAAAUAAUUAGCAUCAGAGUCACAGCUAGAAGCCAGGUGUCUGGGUUACUAGCCCAGAGCUUUUAGAUUAAAUUAUAUCAAAUCACUCUAGCAUUGCACCAAGCUUCUUCGAAGACUACGCUAAGAAAAAAGUGUUGUUUUCAUAAUUCUAAGACACCUUCUUUAUACUUACUGCUUUGCAAUUUCCUCCCAAGCUCUGCUUUUCCCUAUAUGCCAUUUCAUUUGGAAAAGGACUGAUUAGAGAUUUCCCUAUUCUCUUUUUUAAUUCUUUUCCUACAGUGAAAAAUUCACUCAAUGGAUGGUAAAAAUAGAAAAUAGAACAAGUUAAGAAUCUGACAAAUCCUGGGCAUUCUUUUAAUUCCUUCUAACAUAGUGUCUUUUGAAGAACAGGUAAUCAAUGAGAAUGAUAUUUUUAAAUUACAAGUGUCCUUUCAGUAAUAAGUUAAUCUGCAAAUUAAAAUAUUAAAUGCUUAAAACUCAGUUCAUGAAAAAUCAUAGUAAUAGAUUUUUUUUAACUUUUACAUUAAAGAAUUGUUUUUGUGACUUUUAGGUUUCAUAAAUAUUUAAGGCCCAUAUGGUGUAUAUGCAGUAUGUGUUUCUGAAUCACCACUAUUGGAAUUAACUUAUCAUCAUAGCACAUGCUGACAUUUCUAUAGUUUUGGGUACACACUGUGCCUGACUUUUCCCACCAAAGGGCAGCUGUUAAGAAGCAAUAGUAAACUACCUAGACACGUUCUAUACUAUAUCUAGACCAAAGAAAAUAAUUUGAAAACUAAAAACUGGUCUCUGGAAAAAAGAGACUAUCUCAUUUAAAUCCCUUUCUACAGGAGGCAGAACGGCAGCACAGACAAAACGUGGGCUUUUAAUGAUGAGAGGUGGACAUGGCUGAGGCCAGAUCUCUACAAAUGCCACCAGCUAAAUGCCAGGAGAGCAGAGAAUUCCUCCGGGGAUACAAAAAAAAAAAAAAAAA